UUGUCAUUGUCUUCGCGCUCAUCAUAGCCGUGGCAACCGGCGCUAUGACUGCAUGUGACCCGGCGCCAGCCCCAGCGCCAGGGCGCGACCGCUCGCAGUACGUGGCCAGCACAGUGA